AACCAAAUUUUCAGGGAUAAAACUAGAAAGAGUUUUCAGUUUUCCAGAUGAAAGAACCAACAACUUUUCUAAUGAUACACCACAAUCUCAGACAGAAUUCUAUAAGCCCCCAGUGAACUUGCGUCAAAUUACAAAAGAAAUUGCAAACGAAGAACACAAGUCACUCUUCUGAAACAUAGCACUCAGAAAAACUAACAGUAAACAAGGGAAAUAAUGAAGCACCGUAGGAAAACCAACAGUAAUAAAACUUAACAAGGGAAAAAAAAAAAAAAAAAAGAGUCACCCCUGCCCUUUGGAGUAAUGUCAUGUAUAAGAUCAUCCACAUUUACAUUAGUCCUUCUGCGUUUCCUUGUGAACUCCCUGCAAGAAUGUAAAAGACUACAUUUGUAAUUUGGAAAGCUCCAAAAGUCUAACGCCAGUAGGAUUGCACGUGAUUUUAAGAGACAACCGCAACUCAUAGAGUAAGUACUAUGAAAGCUCCAUAACAUCCAUGUACAGUGCUGUCAAUCCCUACAGUAUUCAACGCUAUUAAAAGUAAUUCCAGUGUUUUCAGAGACAAGAAGGGACGAAAACAUAAUUCAUCAAUCACGUGAACACUUGCAAACAAAAAAAAAAUCAACUUGUACAAAUGGAAGAUAUAGCACACGUCUAGGUAGAAGAAAAAAAAACUCUAUUUUCAAUGAACAGAUGACAAGAAGAUGAUUGAUCCACUAGAUGGCAUAACUCGAAUUGUGCCAUCGUAUCAGCAAAAACAGAUGCUCCCAACAAAAGGUAGUAGAUUGUGCAAUUCCAGGUGACAGUAGUUAUGACCAGGCCGUAUGACUUGUGAGGAACUAGAUGGGAUUCUGGAAUUUUCAAGACCAAAAUGUACUUGGCGGAUAUUAUUCAGAUCUUUCCUAGCAAAUCUGUUGUCUAAUUCAAACCCCUAAAAGAACUAGAGCACCAGUCCUCGCCUCAAACAUACAUAAUCAAUCAAUAGCGAUCAAUCAGGGAGGAUGUACUCCGGAUGCCGAUGCUACCUGCAAAGACCUCUCAUCCCAUCUAUCCAACCACAUUCAACGAGCCCCUCCCUCAAGAGCUCCUCCAGUCGCUCCUUCUCCCCACUCCCAAUCAACUGCACAUCACACUACCCACCAUGAUAACAAAAUCCUCAUCUCGAUCGAACCGGGAACAACGAAAAACGAAAUACUCAAAGACUUCGCUAAAAUUGAAACCAGCGGGGAGAGAGAGAGAGAGAGAGACCUUGGUGUUGAUGGUUUCCCAAAGCGCGGGCCGAUGAUCGCCGCCAUCCUCUGGUUGCGGCGUCGGUGCACGAUCGACGGAACCUCCCCUGUUGCGCACCAGAAACGUCAAAAAGAGCAUCAGGAAUGACAGGUCGAAGCUUCCGAUUGAGAAACUCACAUUCGGAACAAGAACUUCGGCGUGCUGCGGAAGCUAAGCUGAGUGUCACCAGCGAUCCUCCUGUAUCAAAGCUCUGACAGAGGACUAUAUAAGCUCUCCGGUGGUGGUGAUCGACGAUUAAUGGCGGCCUUAGGUCGGUGGAGACGACUCGAUGUGCAUGCAGCUUAUUUUUUUGCAGGAAAGCGGGAGUUUGUGCCGGCACCGAUGAUCAAUCGGCCGAUUCGUUGGGGACAGUCAAAAAGGCCCAAUUCGAGGAAAAUCAAUUGGGCCGACAAGCAGGCCCAUCUCAUUCGUUCUGAUUUGCGAAAUAAUAUAAGGACAAUAAUUAUCUAACGUGUAAGUGGUAAACCACGUUUGUAAUUCGAAAUGUCGUCCCAACCCAAGUGAAUAAGUUAUGCAUCAUUCGUGGUACGGCCACUGCAUUCCGUAACCUACACCUGCUAAAGCCAAAGACUAUUGCUAAAAAUUUAGCAUGAUUAAAAGAUUGAUCUAAUUGAAAAUUGUGGAAUUUAUGGGUAUCAACAUGUAAAAAUAAGGAAUAUAUCAUAACGGCUCUAACUUCUUCUUCUUCUUCUUUUAAUAUUAAAAGGGAUGAAGCCCAAAAGUUACAACAAAACUCUCCUAAUAAAAUUUGAUUCAACCUAAUCACCUAUUAGUAAAAGAAUCAAAUCUAACUUCAAUUGAAAGAAGAAAGAACCCGCAAGGAGAGAUAAACCAAUCUCUAGAAGCUUCUUCCAAAACAAAUUGAUCCUAGGACGGUUACGGGGUAAAUUCGUAAUUAGGCAACACACCCAACGAAUUACAAGUACGAUCGCUUCCGUUUGAAUUUUUUUCCAGCCGUUGUUGCAUGGACGACUCAUGCACUUCCCAUUUCACUUUUACUCAAUUAAGCGCGGUCAACCUGAGCUGACCACGGUUAAGCCUCACCUCCAACGCGUAUAAAAUUCCUGUCCAAACGCUUUCCUCUCCCGCCAAUCAGUUCUUUUCUGCUCCGAGAUCUUUCAAAAACCAUCGCCUCCCCGCGUCGUCCUCUCUCUCUCUCUCUCUCUCUCUCUCUCUAUAUCGCUCGAUUUCUUCAUUUCUUUCUCGAAGCUUAAGGGCCAUGGUGAGUUCAAAACUCGGAAUCUAAUCAGCGAUUUCAGUCGUUUCUUCACGCGACGCGAGCUCGAUCCUCACGUUUUCCUGCUCGAUCGUGCAGGUUGUCGCGCAGAAGCUGAAGGAGGCCGAGAUCACCGAGCAGGACUCGCUUCUGCUGGUAACUAGCUAUCUUUCUGACUUGAAUCUCGAUUGGAGCUGUCGUGCAUUAUUACCGAUGGUUGCGAUGGAGAGAUGCUUUAGUUUUCGACUAGCUCCUUUGCGGUUUCAACCGCGUUCUAACCUUCUGUGCACUACAACUGAUGGUCGCGAGAUACUCUCUGCUUUCUCUAGUUCCUGGCUUUAGAUUUUCAUUUUGAUUUCGGAUCAUGCGGCUAUGAACUACGUGGAUGCCAAUGCGGUUUAGUUGAAUGUUAUAGAGAUAGCAGUUUGAGUGUGUGCUUUAGAAAAUUAUCAUCUGCUAAUCAGGCUAUUCUUUGUAAUGAGCUGGUGCACUUGUUUAGUUGAACUACAGGAAAAUCGUGAAAGAAUCCGAAAUGACGAAAUUCUCACUUUCCUCAAGAUUGUACGGUUAAUAUGUAACUCUGUCUCUGUUUUUUUCUAUACCAGUUUGGAAUCCAGAUGACGAUAUUCUUACUAUCAGUACUUAUUUUACGGUUUAUGCAUUAGUUUCUCUGAAUUGUUGUUUGUAUUUCAAUCCUCGCUUUUGUGAUUGUUAUAGCUUCAUAUAUCUUAUAGCUUCGCAAGGAGAAAAAGGAUAUUACAAAGCAUCCAGCUAAUUUCAGACCGCUGCUUUUUUUUUUUUUUUUUUUUUUCAUGAAAUAGACGAGGAACCUGCUCCGCAUUGCUAUCUUUAAUAUCAGCUACAUCAGAGGCCUCUUUCCUGAGAAGUAUUUCAGCGAUAAGUCUGUUCCGGCCUUAGGUGAGUUUGUUUUGGUCUGGUUUUAUCCUAGUUAGGGAUUCCUGCUGGUGUGUCUUUUCAAUAGUCGGCCUGUUUUACAGAGAUGAAGAUUAAGAAGCUAAUGCCAAUGGAUGCUGAGUCCCGCAGAAUGAUUGAUUGGAUGGAAAAAGGUAUGCUGAUACUUGUUCCUUCCUCAAUUAGUUUAAGAGGUUCUGACCAGAAGUCUAGACCUCUGUUCGUUUUCUUUUGUAACUCUUAUUAUGUCAUUUGAUGAUUCUACCACAGGUGUAUACGAUGCACUCCAAAAGAAGUAUCUGAAGACGCUUCUCUUUUGCGUCUGUGAAUCAGUUGAAGGGCCUAUGAUAGAGCAAUAUGCAUGUAAUCUUCCAAAUGAUGCAUUGUUUGUUUCCGAGAUAUUAAAUUUGGUUGAUCUCAUUUACUCCACUUUGAUGCCUUGGACAAUACACUUCAAAGUGUAGAACCAGAGUGUACUGUUUUAUGUGGAAAUGAGUCAUAUUUUGCCUUGAUUUUUUAGGACAAAUUCAGAGUUUUUGUUUGAGGCUCUAGGGUGUUUUGUCUUGCAGUUUCAUUCAGUUAUUCCAGUCCAGAUGGCCAAGAGGUCUCUAUGAAUAUCAGUCGCACGGGGAACAAAAAGAGAAGUACUUUCAAGUCAGGGGCAGAGAUUACUCCCAAUCAGAUGAGGUAACUUGUUCAGAAGUCAUAUAACAUUUGUGAAACUCCAUGGCAGUUAACAAAAUAGAAGGCUUAAUUUGCGAUGGAACUCUUCAAUUUUUAGGAGUUCUGCUUGUAAGAUGGUCCGCACUCUUGUUCAGCUAAUGAGAACUUUGGACAGGAUGCCUGAAGAGGUAAACCAUGACUCUGGAGGCUAAGAAUUCAUGCUCUUGUUUUGCUCGUCUCGUUUUAGAACUACAAAUGACAGAAAUGUAAAAUGUUGUAUUUCAGCGUACCAUAUUGAUGAAGCUCCUCUACUAUGAUGAUGUAACGGUAUGCCUCUUUUGCUGCUUUCAAAUUUUGAGUUCCUCUUUUAGUAGCCAAGAAUGCUUAGUGCUUCUAUCUUGCUUAAAACUUAUCUUUGAGUUCAACAGUAAUAAAAGGUGGAACGCAAAUAAGGUGUCUGUUAGUGGCUGUGUGCUCACACUGAUACUGCAGUGUUUAAUGAGCAGCUUUUGCCCUUUUCAGUCUAUAGUCUUUGCAUGUAAUGUAUGCAUGGAUGACUUGAAACUUCAUUCUGGUGUUUUGAGGUUGUGAUUAGUGAGACAAAUAUUGGGAAUAAGAAAACUAUGAUUGCAUGAUAUCAUUUUGCAGCCUGCAGAUUACGAGCCUCCGUUCUUUAGAUGCUGCAGCGAAGAAGAAGCCCAUAAUCAAUGGAUGAAGAAUCCUCUGAAAAUGGAGGUCGGUCAUGUGAAUAGUAAGCAUCUCAUACUGGCUCUUAAGGUAAGAUAUUAAGACUACCUGAACCUGAAUGCUCAUGAUUAUUCUCACUGUAUGCUUGAUGAGCAGUCUAGUAACUAUGAUGUUGCAGGUAAAGAGCGUGCUUGAUCCUUGUGGGGAUGAGAAUCAUGACAGUCAAGAUGAUGAAGUGAGCUUGGGAGGGGAUUCUAUGCAAAGGGAUGAUUAUUCUGAAUCUGACAGUGAGGUUAGGUCACACUUUACCAAAACCUCUGUUUUUCUGCAUUUUAAGCUUUUGAAGUAUUCUAGCGCUGGAGAAUGCCCAUAUUUAUUUUAUGUUUUUUCAGGUUAACCAUUCAGCCGAUGACCAUUACAUUGUUGUGCCUAUUGGUACUUGCACAAACUUCACCCUCAUGUUAUUGGAAGCCCCUUAUAUACUACCCUUCUAUAUUUCGACCAUCUGUCUCUUUGAAAGUGACAAUUAGUUGGACUUUACAGAGAAACAGCAAGUUGAUGAUAAUGGCAUUGUCAAUGAAGGUACCAUUUUUAAGAAGCAAAUAACGCUUAAUUUCCCUGGUUCACGAGAGUGCUUUUCCUUUCUCAGUAAAAACAGACUAUUAUUAACAGAGUCAUUUGAAACAAAACGGUGAAGUUUUGACUGCAUAGCGGGAUCUAACUUUUUCAGCUAUAGGAAGUUAUGGUAAGAGACUACAGAUAGUUAAUUAAUGUUGCAUAAUAUACUGUGCAGAUGACACUCAGGAUCCUGUGGAAGAUGAACAGCAAUUGGCCCGGGUCAAGGACUGGAUUUAUUCUCAUCACCUGGGCACUGUCAGACUAACAGACAUCCUUUCAAAUUUCCCAGACAUCUCAUUGGUAAGGACUUUUUCUGUUCUUGAUGUUUUUCUACAGCUGCAGAAGAGAUUUAUCAACAAGAGUCCUAAAUUUUUCAAGUUACAUCUAUGCCUGGAUAACAUUUGUGUUUAUUAUUAAUAAUGCAGGUCCUGAUCGAAGGUAAUGGAGGUUUUCAUCCCCAUAAAAGUUUAAGAGAGAUCCAUAUGCUUUUUCUGAUUUAUGGAUUUAUCCAUCUUGAAUAUAUUCAGAGAUUGUGGACAAACUGGAUAAGGAAGGUGUUAUAUCAAAAACUGCCAAGGACACCUACACUGUAAACAAGCAUAAGGUUGUGAGACGAAUGCCUUAGUUCGCUAAAUUUCCUUCAAUUACCUUUGCUUCUUUUACCCAUCGUCAACUAUUUGUAUUGUAGGUCAUCAAUUUCUUUGAAAUAUUUCAUCCUUUUUGCUUCUGUCAUUUUUGGCUAAUAACCUUUUCUCGGUCGUUAAACUUUUCAGGCAUCUGACUUUGAUUUUCCUGAGGUGAAGCUGGAAGGGGAUGGUCAGGUAGUUCCAGCAGGUGACAGAGCUCCCUUGGUUGAUGAGCACACGUACAUGAAGGUUCUUGUGCUUAUCCUUUGCUUUUUUUCUUUGAGCAAAGCAGUUGAAAAAUAUGAGCGCUGUUUUGUGCUCUAUUUUUUUUUUUUUUUUUUUUUUCAGUCUAAUGUUUUGUGCUCUAUUUGGCUUGCAUACCUUUUCAUCUUUCUGAUUUGGUUCAUCUUCUGUACUUCCAUACGAGUCUGCUUGAUCUCGUCCCAUCUAUGCUUCAUUCGAAGAAUGACUAGAUAGAUGAAUCUCCAACCAAAAGAUGGAUUUGUUUUCAUGCACUGGGGAAGUUACACUAGACAGAACAAGAUUAUGACAUUACUGCUCAUAUUUUAAAACAUCCUUUCAGUGUGUAGAUACGUAAAAUGAUUAUGAAGAUUAUACUAGUUACCCUUGCCUGAGUAUCUACAUAUUCAUUUUGUUUUCCUCCAGCAAACCAGGUAGUGAAUUUUCUUUCACUCAAAUGAUCAAAUAGAAAAUGAGCUUUAAAAUUUGGGGUACCUGAAAUAUUUCCAUUCCUUCAAAACUUAUACCUAAAGCGGGUUUUCAAGAGAAAAAAUUCGAUGCUAUAACUUCGCUUCAGUCAUGUGUGCACACUGUUUGAUUGUCAAAUGCCCAAUGAUUUUUGUUUUUCUGGGCUUCUUGAUACAGAAGUAUUUGAGAGAUCACUGAGCAGAUGAUUUAUGUGUCGACUUGAAUGUCAUAAUCGUAGGCUUUGUGUCACUCUCUCCCAAUGAAGUAUGUCACGGUUACGAAGCUUCAGGAUAAGCUCAGUGGAGAAGCUAACCAGGCCACCAUCCGGAAACUCAUUGAUAGGAUGGUCCGUGAGGGCCUGGUUGAAGCCAAAGGCAGUCGCAGGCUGGGUCUGCUGCAUUAUGCUAAUUUUUUGUGCUUAAUCUUAUUUUUCUUGAUGAAGUUCUUGAUCUUAUCAAUUUACGAUUCUCCAAUGACAUAGGUAAGCGUGUUAUCCAUUCUGAUCUGACCGAGAAGAAGCUAAGUGAAGCCAAGAAAGCCUUGGAGAAUGACGCAAUGGCAAGACUGUCUUUAGUUUUGCUGUGCCUGACUUUCAUCUUUCACAUGCUUGAAUGUUAUUGUUCAGUACUUAAGCUCUUUCGACUUCAACAGGCUGUGGAUACUCAUAAGCAGUUCAGCAGCCUCCACCCUCAAGAACUCAUGACUAAGGGUAAUACAAUAUCCUCACGGAAGAGUAAUUUGGCCUUCAAUGAUACUUUCCUUUUUUUCUUUUUCUUUUUUUUGGGUUUUCCAUGGCAAGGUUUUGAUUUAUCAGGGAACAGCCACCCGGACAUGUCCACCUGCGGCAUCCUACACUCCAUUGGAUCAGAUCUCACGCGCAUGAAGGUCAGAUCAGACCAGAGUGACCAGACUAUUUCUGGGAUGAAGGGGAACGAGAACACUCCCACGAGCAGGGCCAAGGUGAAUGGUGAUCAAUCUUUUCAUUUCUGUUUCUCACAUUUAACUAUUACAUGUUUGCACACGUAACAGUAAGGUCAAUAACGAUGAUAAUACUAACAUAUAUGACUCUCUCUCUCUCUCUCUCUGUGCACCAGUCGGUGGCCUCUCGGGAGAGCUUUAUUCCAGGAAACCAAAACAGCAGAACAAAUGGACCGACAACAAAUGCUGACGACAUGGAGACCGUUGCAUACAAUGGAUCCACUCAGGAUAAGCAAUCAAGAAAAACGAGCACAGUACGAAUUCAUGACCCCAUUUAUAUUCAAAUGAUGCAGUUCUCUUGCUGCUUCCAAGGCGUAAACAUGAUCAUUACAUCGUAUACUUAUAAGGGCAAUUCAUUUUUAAUUUCUGCCUUCUGCAGGUUAAGGACCCGAUCCUUCAGUACUCAAAGCGCCAGAAGUCACAAGCCCUCUGAGGACCUUGUCAUCGUGAUGCUAUUGCCAGGGAACUCUCCACUCGAUUCAAUAUCUCAUUUGCUCUUACCCAUAAGAUUUCGUAUAUUUCUGGACUUUUAUUGUCCAAAAAAAACAACAAAAAAAGAACCUGCAUUCGGCCCAUCAGCAUAUAUUGAAGACGGUGAAAUAUUUGAUGAUGGAAUUGGCAACAUUAUUCUUCUAAGGCAACCUGGCAUGUGCAAGAAGUUUAAGUCUUUGAUAGAUAUGAAAUUGACAAAUUAUUAAUCUUCUACAGCAAACUGGCAUGUGCAAGAUAUUUUCAGUAUAUAGCAGUUCUCUGCCUAGGCCUAGCAUGUUUACUCCUUUACUGCUUUAGUUAUCCUAAAAGCUGAUGCUUUAAAUACUAGCCUCAACAAAUUGCAGGAUCAAUGCUUCUUGAUUCAAAAACUGUCGAAAUAAAGAACAACAGCAAAAGAUCCAGGAACAUAUUGAAGAUUUAGUAGCUAUUAAGGAUUUCAAUGCCCCUCGUAAAAUGAGGGUGCUCAGCUAACGAAAUUUCAAUAGUAAGGAAAAUGCAAACUCUCAACAAAGAUUUGCAUCACCAAGAGCAUUAUCAACUAUAGACCGAACAGGGAGAAUUCUCUGAAGUGCUUUACUGAUAAUACUCUCCAGAAGAGAGGAUUUGUCUAUUUCUAAGCUUUAUUAGAGUGCAUGCCGACUGGUGACACGGCCAACAGCAAUUAAAAUGUCUACAUGAAAGCACGCCCACAUGUGCGUAGUCAUUCAGUAAGUCUAUGCACGUUUUUUUAACUACAUGACAACCAGAGGUCCAGAACAAAAACAGCAAACAUUCAGAAUGAUGUAUGUUUCGGUACACCACAAACCUAAUGUAUGGAUGGCCAACCGGGCAUAGCUAAGAGAUGACACUGGCCAAUGUCAGAAACAGAGAGUGGCUACAUGCAUUUACAUAGAUGCAUAAACACACUAAAAGCCUUAGGGGAGAAAAAAGAUAGAAGUGCUGCUAAAAAUGUACUUCAUACUGGCCAAAAACGGGGUAGUUCAUAACAAGGACAAGCAAAAAGCAUCCCCAAUGUUACUUUCAACAUGUUCGAAUUCUCGUGCAAGGAAGCAAUUCAGGUAACUGUUGAUGAACAAGCAUGAAUCAAUGUACCAAAUGCCAGUGCACAAAUAUGAAAGCUGAGGUACUUGAUUGAAAGAAGGCAACAAACAUUAAGUUCAUCCUUGAAAAGGAAUAACAGUGAGAUGAUCACUGCUUACAUAAACCAAAACGUACGAACAUCCAAAAGAAGAGCCAGAGGUAUGGUCCACGAGGUCCAAUCUUGGCGACACUUAUUUGAAACCAUCCAAAACCUCUGAUAAGUACAACCGUCUACAUGUAUAUCACAAAAAGCCAAACAAGUAAAGUGCGAGCAUGCUUCAUACUCUUCUCAAUAGGGAGAGUCUGAACCAUUCAGCUGACAACUCCCCAGUCACCUGCACCAGUACAACUAUGUCAGCAACAUUCAAUCGAAAAGAAUGUCAAAAGGCAACUAUCACCACCCAAUACUUGUCUUUUGGCUUCUAUCUGAUAUACUGAUGCAAGAAGUAUGGCUUCAAAAUGCGAACUUUUCUUGACUAGUCAUAAGCUCAUAGAAUUUGUGUGGAAUCUGGUAAAAGUGGAACCUUAACAAUCAAGAAGGAACAUAAAGAAUACUAUACUGCCAUAAAAACUACUGUUCUUUUAUCAUUAGUUACUUCUUUUCAUUUUAUAAGUGGUUAAAGCAGAAAUUUUAGAUUCAGAGAGAGAGGGCAGACAAUAUUCCACAUGUUUAGUUCGGGGGCCAAACAAAGAAACUUUACACUGAACCUCACAUGUAGUCAUAAAAAAUUGCACUAAAAAUCCGGCAUGCGUGCGGUGGGGGUCAGCAUUACUUCUGAAAUAGAACGUGUCAUGCGUAACAUAAUGUGUCAGAACUUCAAUAGACAUAAAGUUUCAUUUCAUGAUUAGAGCCAAUGCACCCUAGAUGGAUCUCUAGACAAAACGCCAUCUUGAAACUACAGCGCACAUGAAAAUUUCCCGCCCAGCAAGGGCUGGCUACCACAACAACAACCAGUGCAGACUAAAAAAACAUACUCCAAAUAGCACAAAGCAACGAGCUGCAUUUAACUUAAGCCCAUUCCAGGACCUUCAAAAAGCGACGAAAAUGCACCAUCAAAAUUUAACAGUACUCUGAAAAGCGAACCUGCAAUUCACUUGGGUGGCUCGUAGUUCUGCUGGAGGAGAUCGUCGUACGGAUCCCUACGCCCCGGCACCUGGCUGAUCUGGGCAUCCCAACCGAGCUGCACAUUGUGCCGCUCGAACGUCCAGAACCCGUAAGGACGAAGCGGGUAGCUCCACAUCUCCUUGGUCUUGCCGCACCUGUCCUUCAUCGCGUACACGUGCUCCCUGAACUUCUUGUCUCUCUCCUUCGGGUCCUCCAUCAACCUCAGAAUCAAGUUCUCCGCGAACUCCAUGAUGAACUUCAUUCUCCCUUUCUCUGAUCACAGGAAUUCAAACUUUACAAAUCAAUUAAAACCCCAUCUUCAAGCGCAACUGAGUUCAAUCAGAUAAGUCCCCAUGAAAACCCAACAACCAAAGCACUGGAUUGACCCGCUGGACAAGAGCGAGUGACCGAUCGACACCUUAAUCGAACGAGUAUCAACGUCCAACAUCGGGCGACGCCCCGAGCGAAUUCGCAAUUGCAUUGCCGAAAUGUAAUCAAAUUGGUCGAAGUAAAUUCCAUUUGGUAACAAAAAAGAAGAACCCUAGCCUAGGCGUUUCGCAGGAGCGGCGCAAAUCAGGAUCGAAAUCGAUCGAACGAAAGAAUUGCAGAUAUUCGAUAGAAGAAUUCGGCGGAAGAGAGCUUACCAGCUCGAGGAUUGAAGCUCAGUCAGACGACGACAGCCAAUGUAAUUUUCGCCCUUCCCAGCAAAUUCAAGGUUGUUCCUCUUUAUGAGGAGAACACGAGAUGGGGGCUUUCUACUUGGGCUGAGCCCAAAGUAGGGGGAAGAUACAGCUUGGGCUUUCUACUUGGGCCUGAGCCCAAAUAAGUUUCUGCCCAGCCUGAGCCCAUUAGUUCGCCGGUCGAGAAGCAGAGGACUCGCUCGGUUCACCUCUAGAUCCCACCAUAAGUGAACACCAAAAAUUGAAGGCUGCUCCUCUUAAUGAGGAGAACACGAGAUGGUGACUUUCUACUUGGGCCUGAGCCCAAAGUAGGAGGAAAGACUUGGGCUUUCCACUUGGGCCUCGGCCCGAUUAAGUUUCUACGCGGCCUGAACCCAUCAGUUCACUGGUCGAGGAGCAGAGAACUCGCUUGACUCAUCCCUAGAUUUUACCAUCCAUUGACCCGAAUACAUGAACACCAAAAAUAAUGAAAACGGUCUUGUUAAAGAUCGUGCGGCACUAGUUAAUCAUACUUACAUUGAAAACUUUCAAUUCCACCGAUCAUGCAUAACCCGAGAGACGACAUAUUGGAAAUAACAAAAGUUUCUUUUAUUUGGACAUGCGACAUUCUUUCGAGGUCCGCAAUCGGCUAAGUUCAUAUCGGAAGUAAAAUCUGAAGCUCAAUAAUAACACCACUCACAGAAAAUGCUGACACGAAAAUGAUUUUCAAGCGCGUGGGGCCAAAGUGGGAGUUCUUUCAGUGCAGACUAGAGAUACUUUGAAUCGAACAAUGCAGUCGAAUGUCACAUCUAAUGACUCCAAACUUGUACUCAAAACGGUGAUCGAGAAGAAGUUUCUUCCGACACAUUAACACCUCUGGGUAUUUAAUAUAAGAGGGAAAAGAACCGAAGAUAUUUCUUUGCUUUAGGUGGGGAGGGGGCAACGAACGGCUUCCAAUAAAUGCAGCCACCAAUAUGGUUUACGGUUCUUAUCGACGAACGUACCAAAACCGAAGCAAUCCCAUACUCUUGUCAAACCUGCUGGCCCCCUUUCUCGAACACUGCACCGCUCCCCGUCUCCAGUUCCACCAAACCAACAUUAUUAACCAUCUUUUCCCCCUUGUCGAAAUCGAGAUUCCCGAGAAAAUCUUGCCCUUCUAGUCUCUCGAUUGCGUCUUGUAAUGGUUUUUUUUGUUUUUUCAAGCUGAAGAUUGAUUGGAAGUCCAAGUUGGAUGGAUAGGUCCCGAUAUUCCAAAUUUCAAAGUAUGUGUUUGACGUUUAGAAUAAGAGUAGUUCUUGCGAUCCUUGGACAUGUAGAUUAGACCUAAGAAACUCGAACGACAAGUCUUUAAGCCCUUUUAAUAAAAGGAGCCGGCCGCAAUUUUUGUGUGUUUGAACGAGGAGUUAGGAGCGCUUGGUGGGUGGAUAUGUCAUGUCCCAUCGACCCUCCCAAGCAGAAGAAAAUAAUCAAUCGGACCCGUGGAUUCCCCUCUCGAUCGAUUCGGUGCCAAGUCUUGAUAACGUGACCCUUCACUUUUCAAUUCUUUUCGGGGCCUCUAGUUUCGUCUCGGGACGUCCAAUGCCUUUAAAAAAAGAAAAAAAAAACGACGAAUGAAUCGGGAAUCAGUCGAAGGUGUCGUCCGCGGUUGGACAACGGGGUUUUGGUUUCUUCUCGAGGGGUACUGUAAGGAGAGGAAACCUCCUUUGUCGUACAGGGGUCCUAUGCAAGCCUGUACCACCGUCCUGCAAAUUUUGUACCCUUCCUUUUGGACUGUACUGACAAUUGAUUGCAAUCUUCGAGUUUUGACUGGAAAGUAAAACUCGGGGAUGGCGUGCAGUUCAAUUUGGAUUAAAAAAAAAAACGUCGAACGACUGAAAAGGAAAAACGUGAAAUUCGGUGCGAUUAGGAAGAUGGGUAAUUUACAUUACCCCUAUAACAUGCAGGAAGCAUAAGGAUGAUAGGAGGAUCCAUUUUGCACCCUCGAUCCAUAAUCGUUAGAACCUAUACGAUGUAAUCAACCAUGAUGGAUGACAUCAUGUAAGUUUUCCCGAAAGAUUCUUAUAAUUUGAGGGGAAAAGAUGCUGUUCUGGUAUUUUGCCUUGGCUUUUGGAUCGCUUAGUUGAGAUCAAAACUCGUGGCAACGGGCUUCGAGCACGACCCGGGCCGGCUCAUCUCCAGUCACUUCCACUCAGCGGGCUCCUGCUUGUCGGUUUGCGAUCCUACGAGUAUCGAAAGCAAAAGCUCCCGGCAAAAGACAAAAGAAACGAAAUGUGCCUACCGGAUAGAAAAGGGAGGAAAGGGGGGAAGAAAAGGGGUGGGAAAAAGCAAAACAAACGGUGAUAAAGAGCAAUAUGUGCAGUGCCGAUGGCCACGCAUAGGAGAUGCCCCUCUUUCCCACUCCGAACAUGUCGUUUGUCUUUUGACCAUUUUGCUCGAAAGAUACUUUCCUCCCACUUGCCACACAUGCCAAUGCCAGAUUGCCAAUCUCGCUCCCCACUAUCUACCUCUCCUCCUACUCAUCCACAACCGAUAUAGCUUCUUCCAUCAUCUAGACAAAAGAAUAGCGCAAUCAAUCCAUUUCUUCCACUAUUGAAACCUUCCAAAAUCGCGCAUCAAUCAAUCAACUGGCCAAAGCAAAUUUCGCCAAAGAAAUGAACUAAUUUCUUUGAAUGAAGGGCCACACAGGAUACAGGCAAAUCCUGGAUUCCUAGACUUGUCUAAUAGGCCAAAUACGAAGCAAUGAAAGAAUCCCCUCUCCUACACGGCCUCGGACGACGCCUAAAAGGCGCACCCGAAAAGGGAAGGCGAAGCCAUAAAGCAGGAGGAAGCUCGGGGGGAACAUGAUGCCCAUAUGCCCAUUAUUGUAUUCCGCCUAGGAUUCUCAUAUUCUGCCCAACGCCCCCUUCCCCCUUUUUCCCAAAAUCCAGACACAUUAGCUAUCCCCGUCCUCUUCACUGCGAGGAACAGAAGAUACUGCCAUCUUUUACUUUUCACCUUUGCACAAGAAAGAAACAGCCCCUCUCUCUCUCUCUCUCUCCCUCUUUCUAGACCCCUUUUUUAAUCUCGCCCAGAGGGACACGCGACGACUCAAUUCUCAGCAAUCAAUGAGAGAGAGAGAGAGAGAAUGGGUGGGUUUUGGUUUUGGUUUUGGUUUUGGCCACUCAUGUCGUUCACGCCCAUCUCGCUACUCCUUAACCUACUCUGCUCCCACCACAUUAUAACGUAGAAAAGUGCACAAUCGACGGAUUAAGUCAAAAGGAAAAUAUAUAAAAAAAUGGGGAAAACGGAUGGCGGAGAGAGGGCCAGUUUGCAGAGGCCCACGGCGCCAGAUGCAGAACUCGGCUGCAGAGUCUGCAGUAGUGCAGACCCACCACCAUCCCACGACUCGAAUUUUUUUAACCCCUUUUGCUCCAGCAUCUCUUCGCACGUUCGAUUAAUUAAAACAUAACCAAAAAGUAUCAAGCGAUUAGUUUUGAAAUAUUUUCAUUAAUUUCUGACUUUGGCCCAGAAAUUUCCCUAUAAUAUAAAAAUAAAAAUAAAAAAUGGGUGAGAAAAAGAAGAACCGGGUUACCCUUGGAUGCCAACGAAGUAUAUGCUAUACAAGAAAGACCGAAGAAAGUUGCUCGUUCCUAAAAAAAAAAAAAAAAAAAAAAAAUCAUGCCACUUCCACUCUCCUUUUUCCCACCAAAAUUGCCCUCAUUUUCUCAUUUUUCCGUUACCCAAAAGAAAAAAAGAGAGGCUAAAGUCUAACCCCCGGAUUCCCGAAAAAGGGAGAAGUUCAAGGGGAAGAAAAACGAAGGAAGACACCAAAAAAAGAAGAAAAAAAAACAAAAGAAAAGAGCAGCAGCAAACCGCCGUUCACGAUCGCCCGUCAACUCACGGCCAUGAUGACAUCAUCGUUACCCGCACCAACUCCG
rnacentral:lncRNA from 1 species